AUUUAUAGAUGUGGGCAAUAAGAGCUACAUUUAUGUUGUCAGUGCUGUUUGCCCUCGUUUAAUUUCUCAAAUGACCUAAUUAUAUGUGUUCUCAAUAUGUCUUGGGAGGAAAAUAAUUGCUGAUACUGUCAAAGGCAAAAUGCUGAAUAUGUUUCAGUGCUUCUCACAUUCCAUGGCCUGAUUAUGGGCAUCAUUAAAUUACACGUUACCAUUCUUCCGGAACAUCGCAUUGAACAUGUCCUAAUGUUUCACAAUGAGAAGUGAAGCACUUCCUCUUACUUAAAAAGAAAAAUAUUUGAUUUUUACAGGAUGCCUGACACUAAUGCUUACUAUUCUGCUAUCUAUGAUGUCUUCACUUAUGGAUAUAUUUAUUAACAAGUACUUAUUAGCUAUUUAACAUUUCCUCUACUGAGUGUUAUUAAUUACAGAUGCUGUAUUAGUUUCCUAAGGCUGCUGUAACAAAUUACCACAAACGUGGUGACUUAAAACAACAGAAAUUUAUUCUCUCACGGUUCUGGAGGCCAGAAGUUCAAAAUACAGCUGGGACCAAAGGCAUCUCUAAGGAAGGAUACAGUCCUUGCCUCUUCCAGGGUUCUGUGCCUCCUGUUGGAAUGAGCUCACUAACCAGUGGAAACAAACUGUUUAUCCUUCUAUGAUGUUGCAACUGCCUGGGCUUUCUAAUGCGUCUUCAGAUUUCGCACAAUCCAUGACAGCAAGAAGACAAAGGCUUUGUUACAACAGAACAGAGCGGAGACAUCCGUGGCCGUCAGCUUCUUUAAAGCCAGUAAAUAAAGGAAAGAAAAGAGAAGUUAAUAUCCAGGUACUGAUGGUGACACCUCUUGUCUUAUCUGACUCAUCGCAGCCAUUUUCAGGUUCAGACCCCAGAGAAAGUUGGGUGGAAAAAAGUGGAAAGAGGAUCUGGAGGAGUAAAGAAAAGACAUCCAAUAUUCUGUUUCUACAACAAUGCUAUGAUCACAAAGUCAGGGGUUAGAUCAUAUGAUCUCCUAACCCCCUACUAGCUUUAUGAUUGAUUGAUAAUUCUUCCAAACAAGCUCACGUAAAUUAUAUAUUGGCCAUAAAACUAGCGCUAUUUUCAACUCAUCUUUUAUAAGUGUGUUUCUUUUAAAGAUCCAAGACCUUUUCCAUGACUAAGAUAUUAUAAUCACUAAAGAAAUGCUGAAGACAGAAAUGUAACCCUGGAUUUUUCACUUGAUGUUGGUUGGUAGCCAUAAUUAUUAAUCUGUCAUUUUUUCUUACAAAAAGAUAAAAUAUCAAUA
ensembl:lncRNA novel transcript, antisense to SLC35F4